rnacentral:rRNA from 3 species
GUAGUCCGGAUUGGAGUCUGCAACUCGACUCCAUGAAGUCGGAAUCGCUAGUAAUCGUGGAUCAGAAUGCCACGGUGAAUACGUUCCCGGGCCUUGUACACACCGCCCGUCACACCAUGGGAGUGGGUUGCAAAAGAAGUAGGUAGCUUAACCUUCGGGAGGGCGCUUACCACUUUGUGAUUCAUGACUGGGGUGAAGUCGUAACAAGGUAACCGUAGGGGAACCUGCGGUUGGAUCACCUCCUUACCUUAAAGAAGC